rnacentral:rRNA from 1 species
UACGGAGGGGGCUAGCGUUGUUCGGAAUUACUGGGCGUAAAGCGCACGUAGGCGGCUUGGCAAGUUAGAGGUGAAAGCCUGGAGCUCAACUCCAGAAUUGCCUUUAAGACUGCCGAGCUAGCAGGUGAGAGAGGUGAGUGGAAUUCCGAGUGUAGAGGUGAAAUUCGUAGAUAUUCGGAAGAACACCAGUGGCGAAGGCGGCUCGCUGGCUCAUACUGGACGCUGAGGUGCGAAAGCGUGGGGAGCAAACAGG